rnacentral:rRNA from 1 species
UACGUAGGGCGCAAGCGUUGUCCGGAAUCAUUGGGCGUAAAGCGCGUGUAGGCGGCCAGGUAAGUCCGUUCUGAAAGCCCGGGGCUCAACCCCGGGAGGCGGAUGGAUACUGCUUGGCUCGAGUCCGGAAGAGGCGAGUGGAAUUCCCGGUGUAGUGGUGAAAUGCGCAGAUAUCGGGAGGAACACCAGAGGCGAAGGCGGCG